rnacentral:rRNA from 1 species
UAGGGAAUCUUCCACAAUGGACGCAAGUCUGAUGGAGCAACGCCGCGUGAGUGAAGAAGGUUUUCGGAUCGUAAAGCUCUGUUGUUGGUGAAGAAGGAUAGAGGUAGUAACUGGCCUUUAUUUGACGGUAAUCAACCAGAAAGUCACGGCUAACUACGCGCCAGCAGCCGCGGUAAUACGUAGGUGGCAAGCGUUGUCCGGAUUUAUUGGGCGUAAAGCGAGCGCAGGCGGAAGAAUAAGUCUGAUGUGAAAGCCCUCGGCUUAACCGAGGAACUGCAUCGGAAACUGUUUUUCUUGAGUGCAGAAGAGGAGAGUGGAAUUCCAUGUGUAGCGGUGGAAUGCGUAGAUAUAUGGAAGAACACCAGUGGCGAAGGCGACUCUCUGGUCUGCAACUGACGCUGAGGCUCGAAAGCAUGGGUAGCGAACAGG